rnacentral:sRNA from 1 species
CGUCAGUCGCUCUGCAUUCCCGUUUGGCAAGCCGGCCAACGUCGGUUCGGUUCGGCUCACGAGGGCGGUCGGGAAGGUGCCUCGCUGUGUCGCCUCGGCGAGCKCAGUGAGUGCUUACAGUCGAUCGUUCGGCAGUCGGACGCUGCGGACCGAGGAGAUGUGUGACGCUUCACACCGGCAGCGCAGGUUYGCCGUCUCGGCGGCGGGCCGGGUCCCUUCUGACCGUUGGGUGGUCGCUGCUGGGACUGCCCGUCAGUGCCAGCUGACGUCUCGCCUCCUCGGUCGGGAGGUCGAUCACGCCAUGCGCUGCAGUCGCUGGCUGAAGGAAGGCUGCAUUCGA